AGAGUUUGAUCCUGGCUCAGGAUGAACGCUAGCUACAGGCUUAACACAUGCAAGUCGAGGGGCAGCAUGGUCUUAGCUUGCUAAGGCCGAUGGCGACCGGCGCACGGGUGAGUAACACGUAUCCAACCUGCCGUCUACUCUUGGACAGCCUCUGAAGGAAGAUUAAUGCAAGAUGGCAUCAUGAGUUCACAUGUUCACAUGAUUAAAGGUUUUCCGGUAGACGAUGGGGAUGCGUUCCAUUAGAUAGUAGGCGGGGUAACGGCCCACCUAGCCUUCGAUGGAUAGGGGUUCUGAGAGGAAGGUCCCCCACAUUGGAACUGAGACACGGUCCAAACUCCUACGGGAGGCAGCA
rnacentral:rRNA from 1 species